GACGAACGCUGGCGGCGUGCUUAACACAUGCAAGUCGAACGGAAAGGCCCUGCUUGCAGGGUGCUCGAGUGGCGAACGGGUGAGUAACACGUGGGUGAUCUGCCCCUUACUUUGGGAUAAGCCUGGGAAACUGGGUCUAAUACUGGAUAGGACCAUGCUGUAGGUGGUGUGGUGGAAAGAUUAGUUUCGGUAAGGGAUGAGCUCGCGGCCUAUCAGCUUGUUGGUGGGGUAAUGGCCUACCAAGGCGUCGACGGGUAGCCGGCCUGAGAGGGUGGACGGCCACAUUGGGACUGAGAUACGGCCCAGACUCCCACGGGAGGCAGCAGUGGGGAAUAUUGCACAAUGGGCGCAAGCCUGAUGCAGCGACGCCGCGUGGGGGAUGACGGCCUUCGGGUUGUAAACUCCUUUCAGCCAUGACGAAGCCCUUGUGGUGACGGUAGUGGUAGAAGAAGCACCGGCUAACUACGUG
rnacentral:rRNA from 1 species